AAUCUCUCUCGUGUAAUUGCUCUUUCUUCCUCCUGCCGUUGCUAUAACCGCCGGGUCUUUGCCGCCGCUUUCUCUUCCGGCCAGAACCACCACCGUGGCACCGCCUGUAUCUUCCUCCUUCCGGCAACCACCAUAGCCCUGCACCAGUUAUAAAUCAAAUUGAACGAGACGUUGAUCGAGGCAUUGAUCGAGAAGUGAUUGAAAUGGGUAUUCAGAAAUAGCUAAGUUGUGUUGCAAGUUGAAGUUAGGCAGAGAUUUGCUAUAGAUAAAAUCUUGUCAGAAGCUGGCAGAAAGGAAUGAUAUGGCACUACAUAGUGUUAUUAGAAAUCUGAGAUAGACACCGGAGUUAAGAUAAUGUUAAAGAUGGUUCGCCUAUUUAGGCUAAGCAUAAGAGUAAGGCUAGGCGAGGAUUGCAAGUGACUAAGUUUCAACCUGAUGGUCAGGAAGAGUAUCCAAGAUCGAGUCUUUGGGACUAGUGAAUUGAACGAGACGUUGAUCGAGGCAUUGAUCGAGAAGUGAUUGAAAUGGGUAUUCAGAAAUAGCUAAGUUGUGUUGCAAGUUGAAGUUAGGCAGAGAUUUGCUAUAGAUAAAAUCUUGUCAGAAGCUGGCAGAAAGGAAUGAUAUGGCACUACAUAGUGUUAUUAGAAAUCUGAGAUAGACACCGGAGUUAAGAUAAUGUUAAAGAUGGUUCGCCUAUUUAGGCUAAGCAUAAGAGUAAGGCUAGGCGAGGAUUGCAAGUGACUAAGUUUCAACCUGAUGGUCAGGAAGAGUAUCCAAGAUCGAGUCUUUGGGACUAGUGGUAAUUAGAGUUGUCUGAAUUUGAUUUAGUUGUAAAAGCAUGUAAUAAGAUUUAUUAGUUUUACUUUUCUGAUUUCAAUAAUAUAGCCUGUUUGCGAUCCUGUUUUAAAGGGGGUUAAACUUUGUUCU